rnacentral:pre_miRNA from 1 species
UGGACAGAUUAUUGUAUUCGACUGUAUUCAAGGCGUGAAACAGGGGAUUACACUGUUUUUAAACAGAAAGUGAAUAAAUUAUCAUAAUAAACUCCU